CUGGUAGUCCACGCCCUAAACGAUGUACACUAGUUGUUGGGGUGCUAGUCAUCUCAGUAAUGCAGCUAACGCAUUAAGUGUACCGCCUGGGGAGUACGGUCGCAAGAUUAAAACUCAAAGGAAUAGACGGGGACCCGCACAAGCGGUGGAGCAUGUGGUUUAAUUCGAAGAUACGCGAAGAACCUUACCUGGGCUUGAUAUCCUAAGAACCUUUUAGAGAUAAGAGGGUGCUAGCUUGCUAGAACUUAGAGACAGGUGCUGCACGGCUGUCGUCAGCUCGUGUCGUGAGAUGUUGGGUUAAGUCCCGCAACGAGCGCAACCCACGUAUUUAGUUGCUAACGGUUCGGCCGAGCACUCUAAAUAGACUGCCUUCGUAAGGAGGAGGAAGGUGUGGACGACGUCAAGUCAUCAUGGCCCUUAUGCCCAGGGCGACACACGUGCUACAAUGGCAUAUACAAUGAGACGCAAUACCGCGAGGUGGAGCAAAUCUAUAAAAUAUGUCCCAGUUCGGAUUGUUCUCUGCAACUCGAGAGCAUGAAGCCGGAAUCGCUAGUAAUCGUAGAUCAGCCAUGCUACGGUGAAUACGUUCCCGGGUCUUGUACUCACCGCCCGUCACACCAUGGGAGUUGAUUUCACUCGAAGCCGGAAUACUAAACUAGUUACCGUCCACAGUGGAAUCAGCGACUGGGGUGAAGUCGUAACAAGGUAACCGUAGGAGAACCUGCGGUUGGAUCACCUCCUUUCUA
rnacentral:rRNA from 1 species